rnacentral:rRNA from 1 species
AAGACUAUCAAACUCCGAAUGCCGUCAUCUUAUACUUGGGAGUCAGACUGUGGGUGAUAAGAUUCAUAGUCGAAAGGGCAACAGCCCAGAUCGUCAGCUAAGGUCCCUAAAUGUAAGUUAAGUGGUAAAGGAUGUGGGAUUGCACAGACAACCAGGAUGUUGGCUUAGAAGCAGCCACUCAUUCAAAGAGUGCGUAAUAGCUCACUGGUCGAGUGAUCCUGCGCCGAAGAUUUCCGGGGCUAAAACUUACUACCGAAGCUACGGCAUCAGUAAUGAUGGGUAGGGGAGCUUCCCAUACGGGUUGAAGCAUGACCGUAAGGACAUGUGGACAGUAUGGGAGUGAGAAUGUUGGCAUGAGUAGCGAGAUGUGGGUGAGAAUCCCACAGGCCGUAAACCCAAGGUUUCCAGGGGAAGGUUCGUCCGCCCUGGGUUAG